UCCAAUCGAACUCGGAGAUAGCUGGUUCUCCCCGAAAUAGCUUUAGGGCUAGCGUCAUGUUAGAUUACCGGAGGUAAAGCACUGAAUGGACUAGGGGCCGCGAGGUUACCGAACCCUAUCAAACUAAGAAUGCCGGAUAAUUGAUGCAUGGCAGUCAGACUACGUGAGAUAAGUCUCGUGGUCAAAAGGGAAACAGCCCAGAUCCACAGCUAAGGUCCCUAAUAGAUGCUAAGUGUAAAAUGAUGUGGAGUUGCACAGACAAUCAGGAUGUUGGCUUAGAAGCAGCCACACAUUCAAAGAGUGCGUAAUAGCUCACUGGUCGAGUGAUCCAGCGCCGAAAAUGUAACGGGGCUAAAACGCGACACCGAAGCAGCGGGAUGCGUAAGCAUCGGUAGAGGAGCAUUGUGUGAGGGUUGAAGCCAGAGCGGGAGCACUGGUGGACUUCACAGAAGAGAGAAUGCCGGUAUGAGUAGCGAGACCCAUGCGAGAAACAUGGGCGUCGAAGGCCCAAGGUUUCCUGGGGAAGGUUCAUCCACCCAGGGUAAGUCGGGACCUAAGCCGAGGACUGAGGUCGUAGGCGAUGGACAGCAGGUAGAGAUUCCUGCACCACUUAUACUUGUUUGACGAAGCAGUGACACAGAAGGAUAGGACGAGCGCGGUGAUGGUCAACCGCGUAGGCGGCACGAGGCCGGGAAGCAGUGAAGUACACUUCCCGCGAAGGCUGAGUGUUGACAGGACCGAAAAGAAGUAGGGAAGCGUCCGAGUUCACGCUGGCGAGAAAAGCUGCUAAGGAGAGUGUGAGUGCCCGUACCGGAAACCGACGCAGGUGGGCGAGGAGAGAAUCCUGAGACGGACGGGAGAACUCUUGUUAAGGAACUCGGCAAAAUGACCCCGUAACUUCGGGAGAAGGGGUGCCUCGAAAGAGGCCGCAGAGAAUAGUCACAAGCGACUGUUUAGCAAAAACACAGGUAUCUGCGAAAGCGAGAGCUGACGUAUAGGUGCUGACGCCUGCCCGGUGCUGGAAGGUUAAGGGGAAGUGUUAGGGGAAACCCGAAGCAGAGAACCGAAGCCCCAGUAAACGGCGGCCGUAACUAUAACGGUCCUAAGGUAGCGAAAUUCCUUGUCGGGUAAGUUCCGACCCGCACGAAUGGCGUAACGACUUGUGAGCUGUCUCAACAGGAGGCCCGGUGAAAUUGAAGUAUGUGUGAAGAUGCACAUUACCCGCGACUGGACGGAAAGACCCCGUAGAGCUUUACUGUAACCUGACAUUGGAUCUUGAUAACGGAUGCACAGGAUAGGUGGGACGCUGGGAGACGAGGACUUUGGUUUUCGUGGAGCGGCCGUUGGGAUACCACUCUUCUGUUAUUGAGAUUCUAACCUCAAGCCGUGAGCCGGAUGAGAGACAGUGUCAGGCGGACAGUUUGACUGGGGCGGUCGCCUCCGAAAGCGUAACGGAGGCGCCCAAAGGUACCCUCAGAAUGGAUGGAAACCAUUCGAAGAGAGCAAAGUCAGAAGGGUGCUUGACUGCGAGACCAACAAGUCGAGCAGGUACGAAAGUAGGGCUUAGUGAUCCGGCGGUAAGAGAGUGGAAUUGCCGUCGCUCAACGGAUAAAAGCUACCUCGGGGAUAACAGGCUGAUCUCCCCCAAGAGUUCACAUCGACGGGGAGGUUUGGCACCUCGAUGUCGGCUCAUCGCAUCCUGGGGCUGUAUUCGGUCCCAAGGGUUUGGCUGUUCGCCAAUUAAAGCGGCACGCGAGCUGGGUUCAGAACGUCGUGAGACAGUUCGGUCCCUAUCCAUCGUGGGCGAAGGACACAUGAGAGGAGCUGCUCCUAGUACGAGAGGACCGGAGUGGACGCAUCACUGGUGCAACUGUUGUCGUGCCAACGGCACAGCAGGGAAGCGAAAUGCGGACGGGAUAAACGCUGAAGGCAUCUAAGCGUGAAGCCCACCUCAAGAAUAAGUGUCCCAUUCGAAAGAAGUAAGACCCCUGGAAGACUACCAGGUGAUAGGUCAUCGGUGAAAGAGUGGUAACAUUUGGAGCUUGAUGAUACUAAUCGGUCGAGGACUUGAUCUA
rnacentral:rRNA from 1 species